rnacentral:rRNA from 1 species
GAUGAACGCUGGCGGCGUGCCUAAUACAUGCAAGUCGAGCGAACAGACGAGGAGCUUGCUCCUCUGACGUUAGCGGCGGACGGGUGAGUAACACGUGGAUAACCUACCUAUAAGACUGGGAUAACUUCGGGAAACCGGAGCUAAUACCGGAUAAUAUAUUGAACCGCAUGGUUCAAUAGUGAAAGACGGUUUUGCUGUCACUUAUAGAUGGAUCCGCGCCGCAUUAGCUAGUUGGUAAGGUAACGGCUUACCAAGGCAAGGAUGCGUAGCCGACCUGAGAGGGGGAUCGGCAACACUGGAACGGAGACACGGUCCAGAUCCCUACGGGAGGCAGCAGUAGGGAAUCUCCGGCAAUGGGCGAAAGCCUGACGGAGCAACGCCGCGGGAGUGAGGAAGGUCUUCGGAUCGUAAAACUCUGUUAUUAGGGAAGAACAAAUGUGUAAGUAACUAUGCACGUCGUGACGGUAACUAAUCAGAAAGCCACGGCUAACUACGUG